GCUUUAAAGCUAAAUUUGGAAUAAUUUAUUACUCAGCAAUAGGUAACUAGCAUGAAGGCUUGGAAAAGAUGAAGACACACAGAUCAUAAGCAGCAGAAAGAGCUGGAUGCCUGCGUCUCUGACACUCUGGUCCUUUCUAGCACACCCUGUGAUCUGAGCCAAGACCAGCUUUGACGGAUGAAAGCACUGAGGGCUUGAAAAACUUUUUCUUCAAAAGACCAGAUAUUAAAUAUUUUGAUCCUGUGGCUCACAUGGUCUCUGUGACAGUUAACAAUCCCACUAUAGCAGCCAGAGACAAGAACGAUGUAAAUGAAUGGGGCGUGUGUGAGGUACUGUCCGUUUUGGCCGGCUGGCACCGGCAUAGUGACACCACUGCAUUCCCUGGUGUUUCCAGCAGCUUCUGACAGGAGGAGGAGGGGCGUCAGACACAGAGCUGUUACGGAGAAUCAUUUGUGGACCAACCCUGCUCUGAUCACAGAGGCUGCACUGAUCCUGAGUUCUGCAGACACAUAACAGAGUUGGCAGCUAGGAGGCAUGGAUACCACACAGAAGAGAUCCUGCCCUCAUGGAGUUGACAGCUGAGGAAAGCAGCAGGAGAUAUGACACCCAUGG